UCUCACUUACUGUAAUGUGACAGAAGCUUGGUCAUGGGUCAUGCUCUAACGAUGCCACCACUAUGGAAUACUCCGAGUCAAUAUUCACGUAAUAAUAAGAAAUUCUCCUACGACUACGCCCACAACUUCAUUGUCGAUUUUUUGUUAUACAGAAAUAACAGAAAAUGCCGAAAAGCUGCUGUUGUGUUCAAUGUACAUGUAACCAGGUCAAAAAUCCCAACCCUACGGUUUGCAAGUCUCCCAUGUAGGGAAAUACAUACUGCAAGAAGAGCCCUGUGACUUUAGGCUAUUUGGCGUGGGAGAGUGGGAAAUGUGGGGACCUGGUGUCGAAGUAGGCUACACAUAGCUAUGUGUGUGGAAAACAUUUCGUCACAGGUUCCUGUGCGGUCUAUGCAGCAAAGCCAGGGCGAUGACUGAAUAGGGCGGGUACUGGCGACAGACGUCACCAACGAAACUCGGUACUGGCGCUCCGCUCGCCCAAACCAAACGCAGUUGACUCAGUUUCCAGGAAGAAAUUGCAUUUACAUUGGGAGACAAAUGAAAAUACAGUAUGUCGGCUUUA